rnacentral:rRNA from 1 species
GGCUGCAACUCGCCUACACGAAGCUGGAAUCGCUAGUAAUCGCGGAUCAGCACGCCGCGGUGAAUACGUUCCCGGGCCUUGUACACACCGCCCGUCACACCCAUGAGAGUCUGUAACACCCAAAGCCGGUGGGAUAACCUUUAUAGGAGUCAGCCGUCUAAGGUAGGACAGAUGAUUAGGGUGAAGUCGUAACAAGGUAAC